CUUAAAUGAAUUGACGGGGCCCGCACAAGCGGUGGAGCAUGUGGUUAAUUCGACGCAACGCGAAGAACCUUACCAGGGCUUGACAUCCCCUGACCGCGUAUGAAAGUACGUUUUCACCCUCGGGUGACAGGGAGACAGGUGGUGCAUGGUUGUCGUCAGCUCGUGUUGUGAGAUGUUGGGUUAAGUCCCGCAACGAGCGCAACCCCUACGUUUAGUUGCUAACGCGUGAAGGCGAGCACUCUAGACGAACUGCCGUUGACAAAACGGAGGAAGGUGGGAUGACGUCAAAUCAUCAUGCCCCUUAUGUUCUGGGCUACACACGUGCUACAAUGGCCGGUACAGACGGACGCAAAGCCGCGAGGUGGAGCAAAUCCUAAAAAGCCGGUCUCAGUUCGGAUUGCAGGCUGCAAUUCGCCUGCAUGAAGUCGGAAUCGCUAGUAAUCGCAGGUCAGCAUACUGCGGUGAAUACGUUCCCGGGCCUU
rnacentral:rRNA from 1 species